UCUUUUUCCGCUUACUGACG
rnacentral:miRNA from 1 species